UACGUAGGGUGCAAGCGUUGUCCGGAAUUAUUGGGCGUAAAGAGCUCGUAGGCGGUCUGUCGCGUCGGCUGUGAAAACCCGGGGCUCAACUCCGGGCCUGCAGCCGAUACGGGCAGACUAGAGUUCGGCAGGGGAGACUGGAAUUCCUGGUGUAGCGGUGAAAUGCGCAGAUAUCAGGAGGAACACCGGUGGCGAAGGCGGGUCUCUGGGCCGAUACUGACGCUGAGGAGCGAAAGCGUGGGGAGCGAACAGG
rnacentral:rRNA from 1 species